UACGGAGGGUGCAAGCGUUAUCCGGAUUCACUGGGUUUAAAGGGUGCGUAGGUGGGCAGGUAAGUCAGUGGUGAAAUCUCCGGGCUUAACCCGGAAACUGCCGUUGAUACUAUUUGUCUUGAAUAUUGUGGAGGUAAGCGGAAUAUGUCAUGUAGCGGUGAAAUGCUUAGAUAUGACAUAGAACACCAAUUGCGAAGGCAGCUCACUACACAAUGAUUGACACUGAGGCACGAAAGCGUGGGGAUCAAACAGG
rnacentral:rRNA from 1 species